rnacentral:rRNA from 1 species
AGUGAACGCUGGCGGUAGGCCUAACACAUGCAAGUCGAACGGCAGCACAGUAAGAGCUUGCUCUUACGGGUGGCGAGUGGCGGACGGGUGAGGAAUACAUCGGAAUCUACUUUUUCGUGGGGGAUAACGUAGGGAAACUUACGCUAAUACCGCAUACGACCUACGGGUGAAAGCAGGGGAUCUUCGGACCUUGCGCGAUUGAAUGAGCCGAUGUCGGAUUAGCUAGUUGGCGGGGUAAAGGCCCACCAAGGCGACGAUCCGUAGCUGGUCUGAGAGGAUGAUCAGCCACACUGGAACUGAGAUACGGUCCAGACUCCUACGGGAGGCAGCAGUGGGGAAUAUUGGACAAUGGGCGCAAGCCUGAUCCAGCCAUACCGCGUGGGUGAAGAAGGCCUUCGGGUUGUAAAGCCCUUUUGUUGGGAAAGAAAAGCAGCAGGUUAAUACCCCGCUGUUCUGACGGUACCCAAAGAAUAAGCGCCGGCUAACUUCGUG